UACGUAGGGAGCAAGCGUUGUUCGGAUUUACUGGGCGUAAAGGGCGCGUAGGCGGCGUGUCAAGUCGAUUGUGAAAUCUCCGGGCUUAACUCGGAACGGCCAAUCGAUACUGACGUGCUAGAGUGCAGAAAGGGCAAUCGGAAUUCUUGGUGUAGCGGUGAAAUGCGUAGAUAUCAAGAGGAACACCUGAGGCGAAGGCGGGUUGCUAGGCUGACACUGACGCUGAGUGCGCGAAAGCCAGGGGAGCAAACGGG
rnacentral:rRNA from 2 species